AUGGCUCAACCAUACAUGCCGGUGGCAAGUGCGGAAGAUCCGGAAAUCCAAGAAAGUCCCGGCAAUGGCAGCUCGUCCAUCUGGAUCCAGGAGGAGGAGGAGAAAAUCCGCAAGCAAGCUGAGCAAGUAACCCUGAGCAUCCCUCCCCACUUCCCAAGGCUCGACUCUAUCGGUGGUAAUAACUUAGACUUCGAUUACCCGUCAAUUUUCAAGCUUCGCCGCCGCGCCGCCGUUGGAGUAGCGCUGGCGUCCAUGCCCACGCUUCCGCAGGCGGCCGCCUCGCCGGCCCUGGAUCACCCCGAGCCCGCAACCAGCAGCAUCAUGGUCGCCGCUGUCGGGCCGUACCACCGCCCGUCGUCAGGCUCACUCAUCACAGAUGCCAAGAAGUGCGCCAUCGUCAAGUUUCUUGCUAGCCAGCAAGGGUCCGGCCUCAACACCGCCGACUUCCUCCGUUGGGCGAAGGAGAAUGAUGCCCGAGUUCAGAGCUGCUACGAGGCUGGCUCGUUUACCGUGAGCUCUGAGCCAUCCAGAGAAGAAGAAACCAUGAGCUCCAAGGAUCUCCCCAGGAUGCUUCUGCUCGACGGUUGCCUGCUCCUCUUCGCCGUCUUCCUGCUCACGUCGAGCGUGCACGCGACGCCGGCGCUGCCGGCCCAUGAUGACGCCGAGCGUGAGAGGCAGUUCAACUACUUGUCCGCGGACAUGUGCCGGAACAUGAAACAGACCAGGCUGGACCUGCUGACGCUGAGCAACCAGAUCCCCUUCUUCGUGCUGGCCGAGCUUCACGGACGGUUGAAAGGCACCUUGUUCAAUGGAAUCGAGCGCAGCAUAGAAGAGCUGGCUCUCUCCUGCUUCGACGACAUCCACCCGCCGCUCAGUGGUGUCAUCAAACAAGCCAAGGCAGGAGAAACCAUCACGUUCCCAAAGACAGUUCAUCACCUGCUGCACCUUUUCCACUGGUCGCGGGUCCCCGAGGGCAAGCACAUGCUGCUCAACGAUUCUCCCUGCCUGCACGCCGAGCCGGAGUCGCACCUCCCCUGCGCGACCUGGUUCGAGGAGUGGCGGACGAGUUUCAGCAAGCAGGCCGCACCGGGCGGCAGCUCGUUACACAUCGUCUUCAAGAGGGAGAUGAUGGACAUGCGAGGGGUGAUGCACGUCCCUGCCCAGCACAUCCACGGCUACAGCGAGCCCGUCUUCCGCAGCCUCAUCGCGUUCGAGCAGAGGCACCACCAGUGUGGCCUCGGCGUCACCGCCUACUCCAUCUGCAUGGCUCGGCUGCUGCAGACCGAGGCCGACGCCAAGCUGCUGAGGGAGCGCGGGAUCCUGGCGCACACGCACCAGACCGACAAGGAGAUCGUCGACCUCUUCACUGGACUCGCGGAUGAGUACAGCAACACAUUUUACUCCAAAGACCUGCUUCGCCUCUGCGAGGACGUGUCGGCGCAUCAUAAGAGCACGCCCGCCAAGGCCAUCAAGUGGGUGAGGUUGCAGUGCUUCCCCAAGCAGUCUGUCACCUUCUUUGUCAUCUUUGGGGCUUUGAUCUCCUUCGCCACCGUCAUCAACGCGGGCUACUCGGUCUAUAGGUUCUAUCACCCACUCCCGGUCAAGUAA
rnacentral:rRNA from 1 species